rnacentral:rRNA from 1 species
UACGUAGGGGGCAAGCGUUAUCCGGAUUUACUGGGUGUAAAGGGAGCGCAGACGGUAUGGCAAGUCUGAAGUGAAAUGUCGGGGCUCAACCCCGAAACUGCUUUGGAAACUGUCAAACUCGAGUGUCGGAGGGGUAAGCGGAAUUCCUAGUGUAGCGGUGAAAUGCGUAGAUAUUAGGAGGAACACCGGCGGCGAAGGCGGCUUACUGGACGAUAACUGACGUUGAGGCUCGAAAGCGUGGGGAG